GACAGAGGAGCCAAGCGUUGUCCGGAUUGACUGGGCGUAAAGCGCACGCAGGCGGUCGCGCGCGUGGGGUGUGAAAUCUGGCCGCUUAACGGCCAGGCGCCAUCCCAUACGGCGCGACUGGAGCCAUGCAGAGGGCGGUGGAAUUGCCGGUGUAGUGGUGAAAUGCGUAGAGAUCGGGAGGAACAUCAGUUGCGAAGGCGGCUCUCUGGACCAGCACUGACACUGAGGCACGAAAGCGUGGGGAGCAAACAGG
rnacentral:rRNA from 1 species